GACAGAGGUGCCGAGCGUUAGGCGGAAUCACUGGGCUUAAAGCGUGUGUAGGCGGACUUCUAAGUACCUUGUGAAAUCCCACGGCUCAACCGUGGAACUGCUCGGUAUACUGGUUGUCUUGAGCCACUUAGGGGCAGUCGGAACAGACGGUGGAGCGGUGAAAUGCGUAGAUAUCGUCUGGAACGCCAAAGGUGAAAACGACUGCUGGGAGUGAUGCUGACGUGGAGACACGAAAGCCAGGGGAGCAAACGGG
rnacentral:rRNA from 1 species